AUUAUCUAGUAAACAAUUUGAAAUCUAAACUUCAAAAUCAAAAUUUGAGUUAUACAGUCAAAAUAACAAAAAUGUUUACAUCAAACAAUACUUGCAUUUAACCGAAAGUCUGCAAAAAAAAAAAAAAAAACAACUUUAACAAUGGUUCCAAGCUUAUACUCCAAUGUUUUCAGCUCCGUAUAGAGUACAAGCCCAACGCAUCUAAUUGAGUAGCAGAUGCCUUAUCCUGAGUUCUUGCAAAUUGGACCUCUGAGGAUCACAUAUCCUAGCUUGCUCUUGUCUCAAGGCCAACAUUUGAAAUACUUCAACAAUUGCAGCAGGCCAAUGCUUCUGAUCCCAAUUUGCUAGCCCUACAUCACCAACACCAGCAAGACCUUCUUCCUCCAAGGUAUACACAACUUCAUGGGUUGAUUUUAUUUCGAGGUCUCUAUGUGGUUAGUAUGCACUCCCCUUUAUGUGAAGCACUCAUCCAAUUUCAUGAUGCACCAUGAGGGGGACAUGCAGGAAUCAAACGCACUCUCGCUUGAUUAGCUGCCAAUUUUUGUUGGCCCACAUGCAAUAUUUCGUUGAAACCUACAUCGCAUCUUGCCUCACUUGCCAGAAAAUCGAGUAUUCUUAUCAAGUUCCCACAGGUCUUUUGCAGCCCUUACCCAUUCCAGAAGUUGUAUGGGAAGAUACCACAAUGGAUUUUUAGACCAGCCCUUCACCGUCCAAAGGUGGUAUACCAUAUGUGCCAUUAAAGUUGGUCUUGAUGGUGAGGUUGACCACCUUAAGGCUAGAUUAGUAGCCAAAGGUUAUACUCAGAUAUACGGUCUUGAUUAUUGUGAUACCUUCACUCAUGUGGCCAAAAUUUCCAUUAUUCAUCUCUUCCUUGACAUGGCUACCAUUCGACAUUAGCCAGUUCAUUAGUUAGACUUGAAAAAUGCCUUCCUUCAUAGUGAGUUGGAAAAGGAUAUUUACAAGGAGCACUCCCUUGGGUUUGUUGCUCAAGGGGAGUUUGGUUUGGUGUGUAAACUUUGUCGAUCUCUCUAUGGACUCAAGCAGUCUCCAAGAGCUUGGUUUGGAAAAUUCAAUCAUGAUGUGCAAAAUUUUAGGAUGAAAUGCAGUGAAGCAAAUCAUUCAGAUUUUAUUAUCACAAUUCACCUAGAAAAUGUGUUUAUCUAGUUGUCUAUGUUGAUGAUAUAGUUAUUAAAAGAAAUGAUACUAUCAAAAUUUCUCAAUAAAAAAACCACUUAUUCAAUCACUUUCAGACCAAGGAUCUUCGCUGUCUCAAAUACUUCCUUAGCAUAGAGGUGGCUCAAUCCAAGGAAAGCAUUGUUAUUUCACAAAGGAUGUAUGCUUUGGAUAUUUUGGAGGAGACAAGGAUGGUUGAUUGUAGGCCCAUUGAUAUUCCUAUGGACCCAAAUCAAAAGUUAAUGGCAAGCAAGGUGCACCAUUUCCAGAUCCAGAAAGAUACAAAAGGUUGGUUGGGAAACUCAUUUAUCUCAUAAUUACAAGACUUUUAUCUCUUUUGCAGUUGGAGUUGUGAUUCAAUUCAUGAAAGCUCCCAUGGUUGUCAAGAUCGAGUUUUAACUCGUAAAAACUUCUGAUUUUACGAGCCAGGGAAGCCCAACCUAUUCAGCUCGUAUGCAAACUCAUUUUCCACUAAACUUUUGCAAACUCACAAACUCAACCAAAAUCGCAAGUUUGUCGUGAUUGAGCGUGGCUACACUGGUCACUUAAAAAAGCCCCAAACAAUAGCAAAACUUGCGUUUCAAUUUAGGAUUUUUUCCUUCCCACGAUUUGCACGUUUCUCUCAAGUCUCAAUUGCUGAAACUGAACCCAAAACCUGUGUUGUUCGGAUCUGUUCAUCAGCGUUAGGACUUGCUCGUUGCUAGUUUGUUUGUCGUCCCUAGUUCUUUGGUCGAGAUCGCGCUCUUUGUGGCUUGCUCAUCGUUGGUCGGCAUCUCUGUUCUCUGGUCAACAUCGUGUGAUUUAGGGUUGUUCCAGUUGUAGUGUCGUGUUUCCGCGAUUCUCGUGAAGGGCCUCAACAAGUUUAUAUAAACUCUUGAUUUGGACAACCUAGCUCCUCAUAUUGAUCACUGGAAUGUUGUGAUUUGCAUUCUCAAGUAUAUUAAAAAAGCUCUCCAGAACAAGGUUCACUAUAUUAAGAUAAGGGAAAUACCCCAAUCUCUAGGUAUUUUGAUACUGAUUGGGCAAGAUGCCGCAUAGAUAAGAGAUCAACUACGGGAUAUUGUAUAUCCAUUAGAGGAAACACUAUCUCUUGGAAGAGCAAGAAACAAAAUGUUGUUGUUAGGCCUAGUACAAAAGCUGAACAUAGAGCUAUGGUCACAGCCACUUGUGAGUUAUAUGGAUCAAGCAACUUCUCUAAGAGUCAAAGUUAUGUGAAAUCUAACAAAUGAAAUUGUAUUGUCACAACCAGGCAACUCUUCAAUCUUCAUGUUGCCUCUAAUCCAAUGUUCCAUGAAAGAACUAAACAUAAAGAGGUUGACUGUCACUUUUUUAGGGAGUUUUUAUCUAAGGAGAUCACUACUGAAUUCAUUAGUUCAAAUGAUCAACUUCAUGAAAUUGUGAACAAGUCUUUGAGUGGGCCUUGUAAUCAGUUUAUUUGUUCCAACUUGAGGGAGAGUGUUAGCUUAAUAUAUAUUUUUGUAUUACCAUAUGUUAUGUAAAGCUGUUUUUUUUUUACUUUUCCUACUGCUAUAACUGUCUGUACACACUACGGUAGUUGUCUGCCGUGGAUUCAGAAUGUAAUUCCUUCUUUUUUGUCUCAUUGUACCUCUGUUUAUAUAUACACAUAAAAUCUGUGAUGAGUGAAGCUAAGUCACUCAAGCAUUUUAUUCAAAA